rnacentral:lncRNA from 1 species
GGGCUGCUGCGCUUGGCCGCUGCCGCGUCCUGGCUCCUUGGUUCCACGCUCUGGCAGCUUCCCGGCUGGACACGUGGGUUUUACGACAGCACAAAAUAGAUUUUCUGAACCUGGGAAACGUGCUGUUCAGACUUCAUCCGGGUCUCAUUCAGGAUGCUUCGAUGUUGGUUGGAAGAGAGUUAGACCGAAAAUGUUUUGACUGGCGUCGUUAUGACAAGGUCAUCCGUCAUUGUUGGAUAGAUUGAUAGCACCCAAGUUUAAGGCAGACACCACGAGGGAAAGCCCACGGCGCUGUGGUCCCGGAGGCUAACCAGGCAGUGUCCGCAGACCUCCAGCAACUCCAUCGGGAGGAGAGGAUGAAGUUCCAGGCCCGUUUCAAUUAAUCUGCUCGCAGAACUGCCGAAGAGUGGCUUGUCGGGCCACGGGAGAAGAAACAAAUGCUCUUUCUCACACUCUCCUGGUUCAUUGCUGAGAAACCAGGACACUCCUCUGUUCCCUGGGAGAGACAGUGAACUCCAGGGAUGGAAGUCCGGACUCCGGCGGCGGUCCCGUCAUUUGCCUUCUUGUUUCUGCCCAAACCCAGCUAGUUCCAAGCGCUUGGUCCCCAAGACUGGAAGUCCCCAAGAACCUACCUCUACCUGUCCCAACCCUGCCUCCCCCCUACCCUUUCACCCCCUGCCACCAUUAGAAAGUCUCUGGAUUUUGAAAUGCUAGUUGCAGCAGCUGCUUCCGUGGCCUCAUGCCGCCCACACUCUGGGAAGCGGAGGAGGGAGGGUUCCUCUCGUAAUAAGAUUAGCUGACCUGUUAAUGAGAGUUUUGGACGUGCCGGGCGGGGGUAGGCGCUUUAUGUCCAUUUAAUCCACCUACAUGCGGAGAAGGCAUUAUCAUUAACCCCCAUAUUGUAGAUGGGGACCGCUGAGGUUCGGAAAGUUUAGAUGGGUUGCCUAAGGUCACGCCAUUAAUGAGUAAUGGAGACGGAUUCAAAUACCGUUCGGUAAGGUGCCAAGUGCAUCUUCUGCCUACCCUAGUCCAACCUGUAGCCACUCGGUCCAGACUGACGCCAGAGGGGCUAUCAUGGGAGAGAUUUGGUUCCCCUCGCUGCGGGGUCCAGGGAAGAAGCUGAGAAGGUAGCAAAGUCCCCCUCGCCCACUACGUCUACAGGUGGCGUACCUGGGUAAUCCGAUUCAAGCUUCCGCCACACCCACCCCGGGCACAAGUCGAUCCCGAGGCUUACGGGACCCUAAGGCCCAGAGGCUACAGGAACCUCCCGUGAAGGGGGCAGGAGAAAGUUUGAGGGAGAGCCCUGAAGGUCCGGGAGCGAACGAAAAAGUCUGGAAGGGAAUAGACCAGGAGUCAGGACCUCCCCUGCACCUCCCCAGCAGGCCCACUGCGCCGAGCGGGGCCCCUGCCUCCACCGCGGCUUCCGGGAUGCCCGCAGAGCUCGGCAUCCUCACCCGGUGCGCACAAGGGCGCGCAGCGGCGUAAGCUGGACCCCCGACGCUGCGCGCGCUCUGAGGGGCGCUUCCCCCUCACACAGUUGACCCUGGGCCCGCUUGGUCACGGCCACCCUGGCGCAUCUCAAUAGUUUUUAGAAAGUGAGCCCACCGACGGCAAGGACAUGCACCCCCUCAAAUCCGCUUCCCCCACCCCCUUCAAUACUGAGAAGACCACGGAAACAAAUCACUUCGACCACUUAGAAAGCGAUCAAACCUUUAUAAAAAUCCAUCGCUCCCAAAUCGAUGGGUGAAUAUUUGCUGGGAAUUUGUUCCAGAGGAAUAAAUGAGGAGCCUUGAGUGUAUUAAAUGCAAACGGGGGGA